CGGAACACGUACAGAACCUUCCUUUAAGCGGGGAUAGCCCAUAGAAAUGUGGAUUAAUACCCCAUAGUAAUGUUUAAUGGCAUCAUUAGAUAUUUAAAGAUUUAUCACUUAAAGAUGGCUGUGCGGCUGAUUAGGUAGUUGGUGUGGGUAACGGCCCACCAAGCCAUCGAUCAGUAACUGGUGUGAGAGCACGACCAGUCACACGGGCACUGAGACACGGGCCCG
rnacentral:rRNA from 1 species